UCAAUUGAGGAGAAUAUCCUAAGCUGUGAA
rnacentral:piRNA from 1 species